rnacentral:rRNA from 1 species
CGCGAGCAGGUGCGAAAGCAGGUCAUAGUGAUCCGGUGGUUCUGAAUGGAAGGGCCAUCGCUCAACGGAUAAAAGGUACUCCGGGGAUAACAGGCUGAUACCGCCCAAGAGUUCAUAUCGACGGCGGUGUUUGGCACCUCGAUGUCGGCUCAUCACAUCCUGGGGCUGAAGUAGGUCCCAAGGGUAUGGCUGUUCGCCAUUUAAAGUGGUACGCGAGCUGGGUUUAGAACGUCGUGAGACAGUUCGGUCCCUAUCUGCCGUGGGCGCUGGAGAACUGAGGGGGGCUGCUCCUAGUACGAGAGGACCGGAGUGGACGCAUCACUGGUGUUCGGGUUGUCAUGCCAAUGGCACUGCCCGGUAGCUAAAUGCGGAAGAGAUAAGUGCUGAAAGCAUCUAAGCACGAAACUUGCCCCGAGAUGAGUUCUCCCUGACUCCUUGAGAGUCCUGAAGGAACGUUGAAGACGACGACGUUGAUAGGCCGGGUGUGUAAGCGCAGCGAUGCGUUGAGCUAACCGGUACUAAUGAACCGUGAGGCUUAACCUUACAACGCCGAAG